AUCCAGCUGACGAGUCCCGAAUAGGACGAAACUCGCGUCAAACUGGAU
rfam:Schistosoma mansoni, Puerto Rico, WGS project CABG01000000 data, contig: 0113